GACGGAGGGUGCUAGCGUUGUUCGGAAUCACUGGGCGUAAAGGGCGCGUAGGCGGCCUUGCAAGUCGGUUGGUGAAAGCCCGGGGCUCAACCCCGGGUCUGCAUUCGAUACGGGCUAGCUAGAGUGUGGUAGGGGAGAUCGGAAUUCCUGGUGUAGCGGUGAAAUGCGCAGAUAUCAGGAGGAACACCGGUGGCGAAGGCGGAUCUCUGGGCCAUUACUGACGCUGAGGAGCGAAAGCGUGGGGAGCGAACAGG
rnacentral:rRNA from 1 species